AAGGCUUGAAGAAAAAUAAUAAAUUCAUAGAUGAGGAUUCUGACGAUCACUCUGCCAAGUCACAAGUGGUACCCUUGCUACCAUGGGAUCUGCUGGGUUGUAUGACCUGAGCAAGCAAGGCUGCUUUUACUGAAAAUGGACCUGCUGCAGAGCCCUCUUGCUCUGGGCUCCUCUCCAAAGGAAGAAAGUAAAAGAUGCAGUGACCUACCCUUGACUUUGAAGGAUGUCCUUGAAUGCACUAAUCUGGCAGGCCUCUGGGUCUUUGUAGGGGCAAUAUCUCAUCUUCUGGAUUACACACGUCUUAUCAUGGCAUCCGGAUCACAUGACACAUCUUGCUCAUGAACAUGUAUCUUCAAAAUAGUGGACCAAGGUAAUUUUUGUGAAAUAUCCAGAUAGUACAGGUCCUUAUGACAGAAAACGGGAUAAUUAACAUAGUCCUGGG